rnacentral:rRNA from 1 species
UACGUAGGGGGCAAGCGUUGUUCGGAUUCAUUGGGCGUAAAGGGUGCGUAGGCGGCGCGGUAAGUCGGGUGUGAAAUCUCGGAGCUUAACUCCGAAACUGCAUUCGAUACUGCCGUGCUUGAGGACUGGAGAGGAGACUGGAAUUUACGGUGUAGCGGUGAAAUGCGUAGAUAUCGUAAGGAAGACCAGUGGCGAAGGCGGGUCUCUGGACAGUUCCUGACGCUGAGGAACGAAGGUCAGGGGAGCAAACGGG